rnacentral:rRNA from 1 species
AUUGAACGCUGGCGGCAGGCCUAACACAUGCAAGUCGAGCGGAUGAAGGGAGCUUGCUCCUGGAUUCAGCGGCGGACGGGCGAGUAAUGCCUAGGAAUCUGCCUGGUAGUGGGGGAUAACGUCCGGAAACGGGCGCUAAUACCGCAUACGUCCUGAGGGAGAAAGUGGGGGAUCUUCGGACCUCACGCUAUCAGAUGAGCCUAGGUCGGAUUAGCUAGUUGGUGGGGUAAAGGCCUACCAAGGCGACGAUCCGUAACUGGUCUGAGAGGAUGAUCAGUCACACUGGAACUGAGACACGGUCCAGACUCCUACGGGAGGCAGCAGUGGGGAAUAUUGGACAAUGGGCGAAGGCCUGAUCCAGCCAUGCCGCGUGUGUGAAGAAGGUCUUCGGAUUGUAAAGCACUUUAAGUUGGGAGGAAGGGCAGUAAGUUAAUACCUUGCUGUUUUGACGUUACCAACAGAAUAAGCACCGGCUAACUUCGUG